rnacentral:lncRNA from 1 species
UUUGUUAAGGUCCAAUUAAGAUUAUAUUAGGAUUUUUAUUUUUAAUAUUUUUUUAUGAUUCUUUAUUGUUACUUUGAAGGUUUUUACUUUUUAAUUCCAAAAAAAAUAAGGUUUGUUAAAUACCUUUUUUAAAUGUGCUUGUCUUGCACUAAAAAAAAGAGAUACAACUUUUAUCAAUAAAGAACAUUUCUUGUGAAGCCAAAGCAUUUUCAUCUCCAAGCAAUAAAAUCAACAUUGAUUGUUGAUUCAAUCAUUUUUAAAAAAAAUAAAUCAAGUAAGUCUUCUAAUCUUCUUUAUGAU